rnacentral:rRNA from 1 species
UACGGAGGGUGCGAGCGUUGUCCGGAAUCACUGGGCGUAAAGGGCGCGUAGGCGGCGCGGUAAGCGUGCGGUGAAAGUCCGGGGCUCAACCCCGGAUCGGCCGUGCGGACUGCCGGGCUCGAGCACUGUAGGGGCGGGUGGAACUCCGGGUGUAGCGGUGGAAUGCGUAGAGAUCCGGAAGAACACCGGUGGCGAAGGCGGCCCGCUGGGCAGGAAGACCCCUCACGGGGUCGGCUGACACUGAGGCGCGACAGCGUGGGGAGCAAACGGG